rnacentral:rRNA from 1 species
GAUGAACGCUGGCGGCGUGCCUAAUACAUGCAAGUCGAGCGAACAGAUAAGGAGCUUGCUCCUUUGACGUUAGCGGCGGACGGGUGAGUAACACGUGGGUAACCUACCUAUAAGACUGGAAUAACUCCGUGAAACCGGGGCUAAUGCCGGAUAACAUUUAGAACCUCAUGGUUCUAAAGUGAAAGAUGGUUUUGCUAUCACUUAUAGAUGGACCCGCGCCGUAUUAGCUAGUUGGUAAGGUAACGGCUUACCAAGGCAACGAUACGUAGCCGACCUGAGAGGGUGAACGGACACACGGGAACUGAGACACGGUCAAGACUCCGACGGGAGGCAGCAGAAGGGAAUCUUCCGCAAUGGGCGAAAGCCUGACGGAGCAACGCCGCGUGAGUGAUGAAGGACUUCGGAUCGUAAAACUCUGUUAUUAGGGAAGAACAAAUGUGUAAGUAACUGUGCACGUAUUGACGGUACCUAAACAGAAAGCCACGGCUAACUACGUG